rnacentral:rRNA from 1 species
AUGCUUUCUAUACUGGAAUCUGAACAUGAUGAGGGAUUGAAGGACAAAGACGAUGCAUUUAUGAGUCUAGAUGCAGAGGUAGAUGCAGAAGCAGAUGCAGAAGCAGCGGCUGCAGAAGCAGGAGACGAAUCAUUCUUACGUAGCAUCAUUGAAGAUGAAGAUACGGAAGCAAAAGUUGGUGAAGGUGCCAAUCCAAAAGCUGCUCAAGAUGACAAGCCAAAAGGACGGAAGCAAAUGGCGUCAAGAUCACAAAUCUGGGAGCAUUUUACCAAAGUUUUUGAUGACAAGGGGUUAGUAAAGGAAGGAAAAUGCAAGUAUUGUGACCAACCAAUUCAAGCUACUACAUCAAUCAAUGGGACAACAGCAAUGCGCAGGCACUUUGGUACAUGCAAGCGCAAUCCAAAUAAGAAAAUGGAUCCAGAUCAGACCACUUUGCAAGCAACUCCAGGAGAUGGCAUCAAUACUUGGAGAUAUCUAGAUGAGAUAUCUAGAUGGAUUGAAAAUGGAUCCAAUCCAAAUAAGAAAGUUCAUUUCAGUCGCUUGCCCCCGCUUUAG